rnacentral:rRNA from 1 species
UGCAGUCGAGCGAGAAAGGCCUUCCGGCUGAGUACAGCGGCGGACGGGUGAGUAACGCGUAGGAAUCUACCUGGUAGUGGGGGACAACAUGGGGAAACUCAUGCUAAUACCGCAUACGCCCUACGGGGGAAAGCGGGGGACCUUCGGGCCUCGUGCUAUCAGAUGAGCCUGCGUAGGAUUAGCUUGUUGGUGAGGUAAAGGCUCACCAAGGCGACGAUCCUUAGCUGGUCUGAGAGGAUGAUCAGCCACACUGGGACUGAGACACGGCCCAGACUCCUACGGGAGGCAGCAGUGGGGAAUAUUGCGCAAUGGGCGAAAGCCUGACGCAGCCAUGCCGCGUGUGUGAAGAAGGCCUUCGGGUUGUAAAGCACUUUCAAUUGGGAAGAAAGGUUGUUGCCUAAUACGUAACAGCUGUGACGUUACCUUUAGAAGAAGCACCGGCUAACUCCGUGCCAGCAGCCGCGGUAAUACGGAGGGUGCGAGCGUUAAUCGGAAUUACUGGGCGUAAAGCGCGCGUAGGCGGUUUGUUAAGUCGGAUGUGAAAGCCCCGGGCUCAACCUGGGAAUUGCAUACGAUACUGGCCGACUAGAGUACGAGAGAGGGAGGUAGAAUUCCACGUGUAGCGGUGAAACGCGUAGAUAUGUGGAGGAAUACCGGUGGCGAA